GAACGAAAGAGUUUGAUCCUGGCUCAGAUUGAACGCUGGCGGCAUGCUUUACACAUGCAAGUCGAACGGUAACAGGGACUUCGGUCUGCUGACGAGUGGCGAACGGGUGAGUAAUGCAUCGGAACGUACCGAGUAAUGGGGGAUAACGCAUCGAAAGGUGUGCUAAUACCGCAUACGCCCUGAGGGGGAAAGCGGGGGAUCGAAAGACCUCGCGUUAUUCGAGCGGCCGAUGCCGGAUUAGCUAGUUGGUGGGGUAAAGGCUCACCAAGGCGA
rnacentral:rRNA from 1 species